GUAGUCAUGGCUGAGGGGUAAAGGCGAUGGACUUGAAAUCCAUUGAGGUUUCCCUGUGCAGGUUUGAAUCCUGCUGACUAUG